rnacentral:rRNA from 1 species
UACGGAGGGGGCGAGCGUUAUUCGGAAUUAUUGGGCGUAAAGGGCGCGUAGGCGGCCUGAUAAGUCAAAGGUGAAAUCCCUCGGCUCAACUGAGGAAUUGCCUUUGAAACUGUCAGGCUUGAGGCCGGGAGGGGGUGGCGGAAUUCCCAGUGUAGCGGUGAAAUGCGUAGAUAUUGGGAGGAACACCAGUGGCGAAGGCGGCCACCUGGACCGGUUCUGACGCUGAUG